AGUCGAGCGGACAGAUGGGAGCUUGCUCCCUGAUGUUAGCGGCGGACGGGUGAGUAACACGUGGGUAACCUGCCUGUAAGACUGGGAUAACUCCGGGAAACCGGGGCUAAUACCGGAUGGUUGUCUGAACCGCAUGGUUCAGACAUAAAAGGUGGCUUCGGCUACCACUUACAGAUGGACCCGCGGCGCAUUAGCUAGUUGGUGAGGUAACGGCUCACCAAGGCGACGAUGCGUAGCCGACCUGAGAGGGUGAUCGGCCACACUGGGACUGAGACACGGCCCAGACUCCUACGGGAGGCAGCAGUAGGGAAUCUUCCGCAAUGGACGAAAGUCUGACGGAGCAACGCCGCGUGAGUGAUGAAGGUUUUCGGAUCGUAAAGCUCUGUUGUUAGGGAAGAACAAGUGCCGUUCAAAUAGGGCGGCACCUUGACGGUACCUAACCAGAAAGCCACGGCUAACUACGUGCCAGCAGCCGCGGUAAUACGUAGGUGGCAAGCGUUGUCCGGAAUUAUUGGGCGUAAAGGGCUCGCAGGCGGUUUCUUAAGUCUGAUGUGAAAGCCCCCGGCUCAACCGGGGAGGGUCAUUGGAAACUGGGGAACUUGAGUGCAGAAGAGGAGAGUGGAAUUCCACGUGUAGCGGUGAAAUGCGUAGAGAUGUGGAGGAACACCAGUGGCGAAGGCGACUCUCUGGUCUGUAACUGACGCUGAGGAGCGAAAGCGUGGGGAGCGAACAGGAUUAGAUACCCUGGUAGUCCACGCCGUAAACGAUGAG
rnacentral:rRNA from 1 species